rnacentral:lncRNA from 1 species
CUGAGUGUCACCAAAGAAGGCUCUCCCCAAGAUUUUAUCCCAUACCCCAGGUCUAAAGGUGCCACCAGCUGUCUAGCUGUCUGCUUGAUGCGCGGCUCUGAGCACUGUUUCUCAUUAAAGGCAGAACCCACACGUGCUUCCUGACUCUCUAAACUUGCCCGGGGAUCCCAGAGAUUAUCUUGUCACACCUUUCCACUACCUCAAGAAUUUCCACUACCCAUGCCUGGCUUGCACGCCUUCCCUCCCUCUCAGCUCACCUGGUCCCUCCCUCACGCUCCUCUUGCCCCUCACCUGAUAUAGGGGAGAAAGGGGUUGACGUGCCCAGAGAGCACCGCGACCACGUAGGAGAUGAUGAAGGCUGCGGACGACCAAGUCACCAGGAGGAAGGGGACGAAAGCCAUUCCCCUGAGGAAGCACAGCAUCGCGGUGAGAGGGCGCUGAGCUCGUCGGACCAAGAAGCUGGCUUGCUGCGGACUGCCUGGAGGCGGUGGCCAAGACACAGACAGCUAACGGCGCGGCGGGACAGAGACUCCGGGACGGCCGGGACAGGCCCAGCCCCGGAGGGAGGGAAGCGCUCAGAGACCCGAGGGCGGAGGGCGGACGGGCAGCCGGGUGGGUGGGGCGCGGGCGGUCCUGGCUUGUUGCGAAACCGGUGAAGUCACAAAGCGGCAGCCUGGUCCCGCGGAGCUAGAGCGCGCAGCCACCUCCCCGCCCACGCCACGCCACGCGGGACCGCUCGGCUUCCUUUCGCUUUUGCUUGAUACAGCGACGGGUGGGUGCGGCGGGAGACGCGGGACCCCGCGAGGCUGGCCAGCUCUUGGGCAAGUCCCGCCAAACUGGCUGGAUUCCCAGCUCCUCCUUCCCUUGGGGGUUUUUCCUCUGAGCCUCUCUCUCCAGCACCCACUGAGCUUCCUUCCAGAGCCUUGGCCACCAGUGAUGCGCACCCCAUCGGGUCCCGCUAUGGGUUCUGGGGUUCAGGCAAAGGGGCUCAGUGGUGUUUGGGCCACUGGGCAUGGACGUCACAUACACCUUUGUGAUAAGCAGCGGGAAAGCCAAAUCGCAUAGUAACCAGGCCUGAUAGCACAAGUCUGUCAUCCCUGCUGCCUGGCUACUAAGGAGGCUGAAGCAGGAGGAUCACAAGUUCAAGGUCUGAAUUCGCAGCUUAGUGAGCCGCCCUCUAAAGAGCUGGAAAUUUAGCCCAAUGGUAGAGCACUUGCCUAGAAUGGACAAAGGAUCUAAUUCAGGAACCUUGAUCUUGUGCUGAGUAGUAUUGGUCAUCACAAGGAACUUGAACCAGCUAGGAGACAAGACACUUGGGCAGAUGUAUAAAAGCCUCUCCAAAUGGAAUUAGCUAAGACUCAUUCACGGCUGUGAUCCCAUAUGUGGAGCUAUGCUGGAUGCAGGUGUUUCUUGACCAUUUACCUCAGAAAUAGCCUUCUUCAGGAACUCUUCCCUACCAACCCAGAUGUUUGACCUUUGAGCCACUUCUUUGCAUCCCAGGGCUACUUUAUUUCUACUUCAUAUUCCCCGGCGUUGACAUGUUACCCUAACAACUGGGUUCAAAAGACUUUGAGAGUCGGAAUUGAAUUUGCUAAAUUUCUGUCUCCAGUGCCAAUGACUGACCCACA